rnacentral:lncRNA from 1 species
UGUCAAGCCAGAGCGCUGAGGAGUCACAGCCCCCCAAGCUGGCUUCAGACGGCAUCGCCUGGCCCUGCUGCUCCUUCCCCAGGGUGUGCAGGGCUCCGUGUGCACUGUGAUCUGAUCCUUGGCUGCUGGGCAGGGCUGGGGUGACUUGCGUGUGUGCCGGCGGAGAGGGCUCUGCGUGCCGUAAGUUCGCCACCUCUGCUCUUGGCGAGCUACCAUGAGCUGGGUUUGCACAAAGGCUGUUCUGUUUCCAGAAAGUCCCUGGGGAGCUGAGGAGUGAGGAAGCGGAGAACUUGGAAACUCAGCCAGUGUCCUUUUCAGCAAGUGGAAGGGAGGCUUAGCAAAGUCUCAGCACCAGCUAUACUCUGAAGGCAGGGAAACCGUUUGCUUCUCUUUUUCCAACACUCAGCUUCGGUGUCUAAGCCACGGUCCAGUCCUUUGGAAGGAGCUGGGUAAUACGUUGUUAACUGGAAAACAAGCAAUCUUCACUUCCUGUCUCUUCAAGUCAGCAGUCCAGGGAUCAGGACCACAAACCUGUCUCUGGGACAGGCCCGAAGAGAUGGUGGCCUUUAGGUGGGCAGAGAAGAGAGCUGUCAGCGUCCAAGAAAGCCAAGGUCUGGGCAGCCUCCCAGAUGCCUAGGAGCUUUUCCUCUUGCAAUCCGUGCCCCAUGGGACACGUUCCUCCUCCUCAGGGUGGAUCAGACCGACUGACUCACCUCUAACACACUUUGGCCAGACCGAUGGCAUCAUGAAAGCCUACGAAGACACUCCAGGUCCAUCGCAGAGCUCCCUCCCCACGCGGCCUCUUAAAUCAUGUGUUCUCGGGGAAUUUAUCUACCCUGCCGUGAACAGCACCAUCAAAGGGUCACCUGGAAUGUAAACUAGUACAACCAUCGUGGGUGUUGGUAUGGGGAGGACUCGAAAAACUAAAAGCAGAUAAACGGCAUUGUUGUUUAUCACAAACGUGUGAAUCAAAAAGGAAAUGCCCGUGUGAUGCGCAACUCCAGACUUGCAGCAGGCAGACGCACUGUGAGGAGCUCGUGACUCAGUCGUGACCUGGGCCACUGUCCUGGGUGCUUCUGCCUCAGCCUCAGGAGAGAUGCCAAGCUAGAAGGACCCCACUGAGCCCCCAGAUUCCUGACCCACAGAGAUGCAGGUUCAUGCGAGCUUGUUGUUUUAAACCCCAGGAUCUGAGAUAAGUUCCUACGAAGUAUAGAUGUCUAAUACAUUAAAUUAGUUUUCAUGAUGGUUUUUCUCUUCCUGUAAGAUUAUUCAUUUCCUUUGUUGGCUAAUCUGCCUGUUCUAUGUCGCUUAGAUGGCUACUUAUUUUAGACACACAUUACAGGCAGGACAGAAUGCUUUACCCAGCCAGAAAGAAAUGUCAACACAUCAAAUUACAAUCUAGUUUCCUAUGUUAUUGGUAUGAGAAGAAUAAUAAAUUUGACUUGUUCAAGUAGAAAGAAAUGGC